rnacentral:rRNA from 1 species
UACGAGGGGGGGCGAGCGUUGUUCGGAAUUAUUGGGCGUAAAGGGUGCGUAGGCGGUUUGUCGCGUCUGCUGUGAAAACCCGAGGCUCAACCUCGGGCCUGCAGUGGGUACGGGCAAACUAGAGUGCGGUAGGGGAGAAUGGAAUUCCUGGUGUAGCGGUGGAAUGCGCAGAUAUCAGGAGGAACACCGAUGGCGAAGGCAGUUCUCUGGGCCGUAACUGACGCUGAGGAGCGAAAGCGUGGGGAGCGAACAGG